GGUUUGUAAGGGUUUGACCUUCUGAUGAGUCCUACACUAGGACGAAACAGUUG
rnacentral:hammerhead_ribozyme from 15 species